rnacentral:rRNA from 1 species
CCUACGGGUGGCAGCAGUGAGGAAUAUUGGUCAAUGGCCGGGAGGCUGAACCAGCCAAGUCGCGUGAGGGAAGACGGCCCUACGGGUUGUAAACCUCUUUUGUCAGGGAGCAAGGUGCAGGUUGGGACCUGCUGUGAGAGUACCUGAAGAAAAAGCAUCGGCUAACUCCGUGCCAGCAGCCGCGGUAAUACGGAGGAUGCGAGCGUUAUCCGGAUUUAUUGGGUUUAAUGGGUGCGCGGGCGGAUGACCAAGUCAGCGGUAAAAUCGCGGGGCUAAACCCAGCCUCGCCGUUGAAAAUGUGUGCCUUGAGUGCGCGAAGGGUAGGCGGAAUGCGUGGGGUAGCGGUGAAAUGCAUAGAUAUCACGCAGAACUCCGAUCGCGAAGGCAGCCUACCGGCGCGCAACUGACGCUCAUGCACGAAAGCGUGGGUAUCGAACAGGAUUAGAUACCCGAGUAGUC